GGCAUGGGGGAACCCUGACCGCAAUGCCGCGUGAAUGAUGAAGGCCUUAGGGUUGUAAAGUUCUUUCACCUGUGAAGAUAAUGACGGUAGCAGAAGAAGAAGCCCCGGCAAACUCCGUGCCAGCAGCCGCGGUAAGACGGAGGGGGCUGGCGUUGUUCGGAAUGACUGGGCGUAAAGGGCGCGUAGGCGGUUUAUUAAGUGAGGCGUGAAAGCCCCGGGCUUAACCCGGGAGGUGCGUUUCAUACUGGUAAGCUAGAGUGCGAGAGAGGAAAGUGGAAUUCCUAGUGUAGAGGUGAAAUUCGUAGAUAUUAGGAAGAACACCAGAGGCGAAGGCGGCUUUCUGGCUCGUAACUGACGCUGAGGCGCGAAA
rnacentral:rRNA from 1 species